rnacentral:rRNA from 1 species
GAUGAACGCUAGCGGCAGGCUUAAUACAUGCAAGUCGAGGGGUAACAUGGUAGCAAUACUGAUGACGACCGGCAAACGGGUGCGGAACACGUACAGAACCUUCCUUUAAGCGGGGGAUAGCCCAUAGAAAUGUGGAUUAAUACCCCAUAGUAAUAUUGUCUGGCAUCAGAUGGUAUUUAAAGAUUUAUCACUUAAAGAUGGCUGUGCGGCUGAUUAGGUAGUUGGUGGGGUAACGGCCCACCAAGCCAUCGAUCAGUAACUGGUGUGAGAGCACGACCAGUCACACGGGCACUGAGACACGGGCCCGACUCCUACGGGAGGCAGCAGUAAGGAAUAUUGGUCAAUGGACGCAAGUCUGAACCAGCCAUGCCGCGUGAAGGAUGAA